rnacentral:lncRNA from 1 species
UGAAAAUGCACUUUUUACAUGCUUUAACUUAGGUGAGGAAAAAAGUUGGGUGAAAAGGCAGGAUUCCAGUCAGAUCUAAUUCUGCUUCAUGUUAUUUUUAAGAAUAGAGAAAGAAAGCAAGAAGGAAGGAGAGAAGAAAAGAAGGAAGGAAGACAAGAGGGAGGAACUCAAGUCUUAUCCCCUAUAUCAGCAUUUACAGUUGAUUUUUCAAAAGGUCAAGUUUGAUAACGCCCGGUGUCGGCUGGGAGUUUAUUAACCCUAUCUUUCGAAGGGUGUUAGAAAGACACAAGCAGUACAGACUUCACAGCAACCUACUAUGCCAAAAGGAGGUGAGUUUUAUGUUUCUUGUUUUUGACUGGGGGUGGAAGUAGAAACCAAUUUUUAGGACCACAGUUCCCAAAUUCCAGAAUGUUUGCCAAGAGAUAUGAGCUGUCUGAUAGCUUGUCUGUCUGUUCCCUUUGCC